rnacentral:rRNA from 1 species
UACGUAGGGGGCUAGCGUUGUCCGGAAUCAUUGGGCGUAAAGAGCGUGUAGGCGGUCCGGUAAGUCCGCUGUGAAAGUCGGGGGCUCAACCCUCGAAUGCCGGUGGAUACUGUCGGGCUAGAGUGCGGAAGAGGCGAGUGGAAUUCCUGGUGUAGCGGUGAAAUGCGCAGAUAUCAGGAGGAACACCAAUUGCGAAGGCAGCUCGCUGGGACGUGACUGACGCUGAGACGCGAAAGCGUGGGGAGCAAACAGG